AUCGUUCGGCGGUUUUCCUCCCAUUCCCCGAACGGUGUUCCCCUCUGAAGGUUUGACCUUCAUUUUUGGCCGGGCAUUCGCGCCCGGCCUUU
rnacentral:sRNA from 1 species